rnacentral:rRNA from 1 species
GACGAACGCUGGCGGCGUGCUUAACACAUGCAAGUCGAACGGAAAGGCCCCUUUGGGGGUACUCGAGUGGCGAACGGGUGAGUAACACGUGAGUAACCUGCCCUUGACUUCGGGAUAACUUCAGGAAACUGGGGCUAAUACCGGAUAGGAAUCCUUGCUGCAUGGUGGGGGUUGGAAAGCUUCGGCGGUUUUGGAUGGACUCGCGGCUUAUCAGCUUGUUGGUGGGGUAGUGGCUUACCAAGGCUUUGACGGGUAGCCGGCCUGAGAGGGCGACCGGCCACAUUGGGACUGAGAUACGGCCCAGACUCCUACGGGAGGCAGCAGUGGGGAAUAUUGCACAAUGGGCGGAAGCCUGAUGCAGCAACGCCGCGUGCUGGAUGACGGCCUUCGGGUUGUAAACCGCUUUCAGCAGGGGCGAAGCUUUUGUGACGGUACCUGCAGAAGAAGCACCGGCUAACUACGUG